rnacentral:rRNA from 1 species
GAGUUUGAUCCUGGCUCAGGAUGAACGCUGGCGGUCUGCUUAACACAUGCAAGUCGAACGGAAGUAGCAAUACUUUAGUGGCGGACGGGUGAGUAACGCGUGAGAAUCUACCUUCAGGACGGAGACAACAGUUGGAAACGACUGCUAACCCCCGAUGUACCGCAAGGGCAAAUAUUUAUAGCCUGAAGAAGAGCUCGCGUCCGAUUAGCUAGUUGGGGGGGUAAAAGCCCACCAAGGCGACGAUCGGUAGCUGGUCUGAGAGGACGAUCAGCCACACUGGGACUGAGACACGGCCCAGACUCCUACGGGAGGCAGCAGUGGGGAAUUUUCCGCAAUGGGCGCAAGCCUGACGGAGCAAGACCGCGUGGGGGAGGAAGGCUCUUGGGUUGUAAACCCCUUUUCUCUGGGAAGAACAAAAUGACGGUACCAGAGGAAUCAGCA